rnacentral:rRNA from 1 species
GACGAACGCUGGCGGCGUGCCUAAUACAUGCAAGUCGGGCGAAGUUUUUCUGGUGCUUGCACUAGAAAAACUUAGCGGCGAACGGGUGAGUAACACGUAAAGAACCUGCCUCAUAGACUGGGACAACUAUUGGAAACGAUAGCUAAUACCGGAUAACAGUAUUUCUCGCAUGAGAGAUAUUUAAAAGUUGGUUAUGCUAACACUAUGAGAUGGCUUUGCGGUGCAUUAGCUAGUUGGUGGGGUAAAGGCCCACCAAGGCGACGAUGCAUAGCCGACCUGAGAGGGUGAUCGGCCGCACUGGGACUGAGACACGGCCCAGACUCCUACGGGAGGCAGCAGUAGGGAAUCUUCCGCAAUGGGCGAAAGCCUGACGGAGCAACGCCGCGUGAGUGAAGAAGGAUUUCGGUUCGUAAAGCUCUGUUGUUAGGGAAGAAUGGAUAUGUAGUAACUAUACAUGUAAGAGACGGUACCUAACCAGAAAGCCACGGCUAACUACGUG